AUGUUAACAAGGAUGUUGGUUCCGGCACCAUAUCAAGUGUCGGCAAAGGAAGACAAGGAGGAGAGCAAGAAGGCCCAGGGUGGCCCCCAUUCUAGAGGUAUGCCAGGCACCUCAUCCGGGGAGAUUGGAACUCCCUCUUCCGAAGAUGAAAGCGAAGGAGAAACUGACAUCCCUUCUCCCCAUUGGAAGAAGAGGACCGCCUCCGAGGACUUGAAGAUAAAGGCUUCUAAGCGAGGGAAGAUAUCCCUGUCAGGGAGUUCUGGUUUGGGAGGCGACAUUGUCACGCAGUUCCUCCAUAAGGACAAGCCCUUAGCUGAAUCAUAA
rnacentral:rRNA from 1 species